rnacentral:rRNA from 1 species
CAAUAGCGUAUAUUAAAGUUGUUGCAGUUAAAAAGCUCGUAGUUGAAUUUUUGCUUGCCGCCGAUGUCGGAACUUCCGUACGUUCGGCGGCGUGCAUCCUUGGGUGGAACCUGUGUGGCAUUAAGUUGUCGGGUAGGGGAUGCCCAUCGUUUACUGUGAAAAAAUUAGAGUGUUCAAAGCAGACUUAUGUCGUUGAAUAUAUUAGCAUGGAAUAAUAAAAUAGGACCGCAGUGCUAUUUUGUUGGUUUGCGCACCGUGGUAAUGAUGAAUAGGGACAGUUGUGUGCAUUCGUAUUCACUUGUAAGAGGUGAAAUUCUUAGAUUAAGGGAAGACGAACUACUGCGAAAGCAUUUGCAAAGGAUGUUUNCAUUGA